rnacentral:rRNA from 1 species
CCUACGGGUGACAGCAGUGAGGAAUAUUGGUCAAUGGACGAGAGUCUGAACCAGCCAAGUAGCGUGAAGGAUGACUGCCCUAUGGGUUGUAAACUUCUUUUAUAUGGGAAUAAAAUGUUUCACGUGUGGGAUUUUGUAUGUACCAUAUGAAUAAGGAUCGGCUAACUCCGUGCCAGCAGCCGCGGUAAUACGGAGGAUCCGAGCGUUAUCCGGAUUUAUUGGGUUUAAAGGGAGCGUAGGUGGAUUGUUAAGUCAGUUGUGAAAGUUUGCGGCUCAACCGUAAAAUUGCAGUGGAAACUGGCAGUCUUGAGUACAGUAAAGGUGGGCGGAAUUCGUGGUGUAGCGGUGAAAUGCUUAGAUAUCACGAAGAACUCCGAUUGCGAAGGCAGUUCACUGGACUGCAACUGACACUGAGGCUCGAAAGUGUGGGUAUCAAACAGGAUUAGAUACCCUAGUAGUC